rnacentral:lncRNA from 1 species
CUGACCACAGGCUUUGGUUUCAGGACAAUGCAGAUUGGGCAGCAGAUCAAAUAAAGCCAUCACCAGCCCAUAGGACAGUCUCAAAGGGGUUAACUGUCCCUGUCCUCUACAAUUGUUGCUGGGGAGCAAUUUGCCCUUGAAUCUUCCAUACUGUCCCUAAAUUGACAAUUUCAUUUCCUUCCAAUCCCGCCCCCUGCCCUGAAGAUCUGCUGAAGCUGCGAGUUCCAUGUGAGAAGGCAGGAGGAUAAUAGCCAGCUCCUGUGUAAGGAAGUCAAGAUUUUCUCAAGGGAAAAAUCACCCUAGAAACCAUCAACUCAUGACAAACGUGAUCUCCAACGUUCAUUUUGGAAAAUAGCCUCAAGGAUGAGAUGAUGAGGAUUUUGAAGAUGGGUCUUAAGAGAAAAGACUGAGGUCCCUCGAAGAUGAAGAAACCCUCAUGAAGAUGAAUCCCAAGGUGGAUUCAAUUCCAGCUGUCUUUGGACUCAAGACUGCAACAUCAACACUUCCCAGGGUCUCCAGCCUACCCGCCUCUCCUGCAAAUUUCAGAUUUGCCAGUAUCCACAAUCAUGAGCAAUUCCUUAAAUGAAGUGCAAAAAAUGAACAAGGAGGCCCAAUGAUGCAUCUGCUUAACUUUUCAGUUGUCAACGCAAAUUAAGCACAAAGAGGACAGAGUUGAUGACGUAUCAGGAACAUUUUUUACUUCCAGAGCAGGUCUGAGUCCCAGCGGAAGACUGAGGCCAACUGAGCCAGAGGCACCACUUCAAUAGGUCACUGGUCUCUGCAGGGGAAUUAAAAGGUAUAAGAGUUCUGCCUGCAUAGAUGCUAUUUGUGACUUGGAUGUUUUCUUUCUAAUACAAAUGCAUCAAACUGUUCAUAGGAAUCUAGCUAUAUGUAAGAAGUCUGGAUUAUCUGCCUGAGAGAACUGGCCAGUAUCUCACCCAUGAGCACCAGAACCCAUUUCUAGAUUACUAAGAAAUGAGCACAAGAACACUGUGUAUAAGGCACUGUGUUCCCAGACCUUUCUAAAUUUUACUUAAUGCAGGUUAACUUCAUCAACCCUGGUGAACAUGCCACCUCCUCUAGGAAGCCUUCCC